GACGAACCGUGCGAACGUUGUUCGGAAUCACUGGGCUUAAAGGGCGCGUAGGCGGCUCGCGAGGUCGGGGGUGAAAUCCCGCAGCUUAACUGCGGAAGGGCCUCCGAUACCGGCGGGCUGGAGGAAGGUAGGGGUGCGCGGAACUUCUGGUGGAACGGUGAAAUGCGUUGAUAUCAGAAGGAACGCCGGCGGCGAAAGCGGCGCACUGGACCUUUUCUGACGCUGAGGCGCGAAAGCUAGGGGAGCAAACGGG
rnacentral:rRNA from 1 species